UACGUAGGGGGCUAGCGUUGUCCGGAUUUAUUGGGCGUAAAGAGCGUGUAGGCGGCCAGGUAGGUCUGCUGUGAAAACUCGAGGCUCAACCUCGAGACGCCGGUGGAAACCAUCUAGCUAGAGUCCGGAAGAGGAGAGUGGAAUUCCUGGUGUAGCGGUGAAAUGCGCAGAUAUCAGGAAGAACACCCGUGGCGAAGGCGGCUCUCUGGUACGUGACUGACGCUGAGACGCGAAAGCGUGGGGAGCGAACAGG
rnacentral:rRNA from 1 species